AUUGAACGCUGGCGGCAGGCUUAACACAUGCAAGUCGAGCGGAGAUGAGGUGCUCGCGCCUUAUCUUAGCGGCGGACGGGUGAGUAAUGCUUAGGAAUCUGCCUAUUAGUGGGGGACAACAUUCCGAAAGGAAUGCUAAUACCGCAUACGCCCUGCGGGGGAAAGCAGGGGAUCUUCGGACCUUGCGCUAAUAGAUGAGCCUAAGUCGGAUUAGCUCGUUGGUGGGGAAAAGGCCUACCACGGCGACGAUCUGUAGCGGGUCUGAGAGGAUGAGCCGCCACACUGGGACGGAGACACGGCCCAGACUGCUACGGGAGGCAGCAGUGGAGAAUAUUGGAGGAUGGGCGGAUGCCUGAUCCAGGCAUGUCUCGUGUGUGAAGAAGGCCGUUUGGUUGUAAAGCAAUUUGAGCGAGGAGGAGGUUACGUGGAUUAAUACUCUAGGAUAGUGGACGUUACUCGCAUAAUAAGCACCGGCUAACUCUGUGCCAGCCGCCGCGGUAAGAC
rnacentral:rRNA from 1 species